rnacentral:rRNA from 1 species
AUGGCCGCCGGCAACCCCCGCUUCCCCGACUUCGCCAUCCUCGACGCCAUCGCCUACAUCAGCGAUCUCCGCGACGCAACCGCCGCGUGGACCUUGACGACGGCGGGCCUCACCCUUCAGGUCUCCUUGGUGGUGGCCGCUCCGCCGCGCCUCUCCUACUUCUGCGUCUGCUGCGUCGGCCGCGACAAGACCACCUUCACGGACGCGCCAGAUGUCGUCUGCUCCGUGGGGGACCACGCCCUCAUCCGGGUUGGCUUCACCACCGGCGACUCGACGGAGCACUUCAUCUACCGGGCCAGGGGGCCCGAUGGACGGCCGUCGCUUGAUCUGCUCCCGGACUUCGAUGAUUAUACUGACGCAGAGAAUCUGCUGCUGCCCCUCGGUUUCGUCUCCCACCGCAAGCACUUGGUCAUAGCGGCCCUGAGCGACGGACCGACGGACCUGCAGUACUAUCUCCACACCCGCAGCACCGAGCCGCACUCCAGAUGGUCCAAGAAGCUGCUGCGGGUGGAGUUCCCCCGUGGAGCAGCCAGGAAAUCGGCUAUGAACGAUCCCGUAAAGGUGAUUGCACUUGGAGGUGGGCUGCUAGGUUGGGUCAAUCUCAUGGAGGGCAUCCUGAUUUGUGACGUGCUCGAUCCCGGGGUGACAGCGUUGCGCUUCGUCCCGAUGCCCAAGCUGCUGCCCAGCAACAAUGAACUCUACGACAAUGAAUCUCGCGCACGGGCGAUUCGUGACGUCACCUUCAGCCGUGGCUACAUCAGGUGCGUCGAGUUUGAGGAGCUGGUAGAACGCAGAGCCACAACUGGUUCGGUUGUUCCUGAUCCCUGGGACAUGGAUGAGCUCCAAGACUCGGAACCGGCCAUCGAUCCACCCCAGGAGGAGGAGGAAGAUGUUAUCGUUGGUUGGAGGCUCAUCACAUGGUAUAGGACAUUGACUUGGAACUGUUGGCGCAAGGGGAACACAGUCCAUUCCGAUGAGCUCGGCACUGUCUCCUUGCCUCAGAUUGGAGGUGGUGGUGCGUGUGCUCUAAAAGUGCCACUCAAGGACCUGAAAACAGCUGCUCCUACUCUGCGUGGCGACGGCGAUGUUGUUUACCUCGCGACCGAACUGCAUGAGCAGGGUGAAACUGCAUGGAUUGUCGCUGUUGACACUAAGAGGAAGUUAGUGGGAGAGCUUAUGCCAUGUUCUUCUGAGGGGUUGUAUCUUUACGAUCCGACCUACAUUCCGUAUGUGCUGACGGAAUAUCUGGUUGAGAAAUCAGAUAAAGCUCAGGUAGGUAAGCGAAAUGCUUGUCAUGCCCCUGCACCAAACACCAACAGGUCGAAGAAGCAGCGGCAGCAACUUCUACAGGCAGGACUUGAAGGGCAGCCAUCUGUACCGCAGCUCCUGCAGCCCCCAUCAGUUGUGAGAUGGUGCCAACAACUAGCUGUCCUAAGGGUCGAUGAGGAGAUCCUAAAUGCCUUUGAGGGCUCCUAA